UAGUCAUAUGCUUGUCUCAAAGAUUAAGCCAUGCAUGUCUAAGUAUAAGCAAUAGCAUACUGUGAAACUGCGAAUGGCUCAUUAAAUCAGUUAUAGUUUAUUUGAUAUUACCUUACUACUUGGAUAACCGUGGUAAUUCUAGAGCUAAUACAUGCAUUAAAAAUCCCGACUUCUGGAAGGGAUGUAUUUAUUAGAUAAAAAACCAAUGCCAGCAAUGGCUUCUUUGGUGAUUCAUAAUAACUUUUCGAAUCGUAUGAGCUUUGACUCGACGAUGGUU
rnacentral:rRNA from 1 species